rnacentral:rRNA from 1 species
UGGGGAAUAUUGGACAAUGGGCGCAAGCCUGAUCCAGCCAUGCCGCGUGAGUGAUGAAGGCCCUAGGGUUGUAAAGCUCUUUCACCGGUGAAGAUAAUGACGGUAACCGGAGAAGAAGCCCCGGCUAACUUCGUGCCAGCAGCCGCGGUAAUACGAAGGGGGCUAGCGUUGUUCGGAUUUACUGGGCGUAAAGCGCACGUAGGCGGACUUUUAAGUCAGGGGUGAAAUCCCGGGGCUCAACCCCGGAACUGCCUUUGAUACUGGAAGUCUUGAGUAUGGUAGAGGUGGGUGGAAUUCCGAGUGUAGAGGUGAAAGUCGUAGAUAUUCGGAGGAACACCAGUGGCGAAGGCGGCUCACUGGACCAUUACUGACGCUGAGGUGCGAAAGCGUGGGGAGCAAACAGG